GAUGAACGCUGGCGGCGUGCCUAAUACAUGCAAGUCGAGCGAACAGACGAGGAGCUUGCUCCUCUGACGUUAGCGGCGGACGGGUGAGUAACACGUGGAUAACCUCCCUAUAAGACUGGGAUAACUUCGGGAAACCGGAGCUAAUACCGGAUAAUAUGUUGAACCGCAUGGUUCAACAGUGUAAGACGGUCUUUCUGUCACUUAUAGAUGGAUCCGCGCCGCAUUAGCUAGUUGGUAAGGUAACGGCUUACCAAGGCAACGAUGCGUAGCCGACCUGAGAGGGUGAUCGGCCACACUGGAACUGAGACACGGUCCAGACACCUACGGGAGGCAGCAGUAGGGAAUCUUCCGCAAUGGGCGAAGGCCUGACGGAGCAACGCCGCGGGAGUGAAGAAGGUCUUCGGAUCGUAAAACUCUGUUAUUGGGGAAGAACAAAUGUGUAAGUAACUAUGCACGUCUUGACGGUACCUGGUCAAAAAGCCACGGCUAACUACGUG
rnacentral:rRNA from 1 species